UAACCUAACAUUUGAUCCAUCAUAUUUCGAUGGGUUGGAUGAAUUUGCCUCUGGAAUUGUUGGAAUUAAUUUUUCAAAGGCUGUGUUUAAAUGAUGUCAUGAAUUGUCGUACCACAUGCCGCUUUUGGUGAAAGGCCGCUGAUGUCAUAUUUUCAUCUCAGCUUCCAUUGAUGCUCUCUCUUUCAACAACGUGCUGUUGAAGCUUUGGAAGCUUAUCUGCCCCAUGGAGCAACCAUGAUUCCACUGUGCUCACUGAUAAAUGGCCGCAAGAAAUCGUCCGUAGUUAUAAUAGGGUUUACUCGGUGCAAGGUUGGUUGGUAUUCAAUAUAUUUCAUUAUGAGUGGGUCAAGAGCCAAACUUUCUCUGAGCUUUUAUUCUUGAACCCAUUUUCUCGAACUAGAUUCAAGCUUCCAAAACUGUUCUUGUUUUCUGGAGGGCCGUAUUAUUAUCAAGUUCGUGUUGCAUUCAAUUCUACACCAACGGGGUCUGAGGAGUUUGUUGUUGCUUUCUUGGUUGUGUUUUGCCAUCAAGAAAAAGUGUACAACUUAAUCGGACCAGAAGAUACGAAGCAAAGGCUAGCUUUUAUCAAAUUCAAGCAAGGAUCAUGGAUUGAAUCCAUUGAAAUCGAUGAAAUCUUUUAUGAUAUUCAAAUUCAAGCAAAGGCUAGCUUUUACGAACGCAUCAUCUGAGCCAAUUUAAUCUUACAGGUCGGCAUCUUAGCACCAUACCUUUGGACCCAAAUAUUGGAAAGAUUCUUCUCAUGGGCUCUAUCUUUCAAUGCCUUAACCCUGCCUUAACAAUUGCUGCAGCUCUUGCAUAUUCCAACCCAUUUGUCUUGCCUAUUAACAGAAAAGAGGAAGCUGAUGAUGCAAAACGAUCUUUUGCUGGUGAUUCUUGCAAGUUAGACAAAUAGUUACUGAGAAAUGUUCCCUUCGGAUAUUGUUCAAGCGAAUUUACUGCAUUGAUCAUGGUUGUGCUUACACUAAUUCUUUUCUUGUUUUUGUGGAAUUUCGGUUCAGUGAUCACAUAGCUUUUCUAAAAGCAUUUGAAGGAUAGAAGGAGGCAAAACCUAGUGGGAAUGAGAAGCAGUUUUGUUGGGAUAAUUUUCUAUCCUCAGUAACCUUGCGGUUGAUUGAUGAUAUGAGAUUACAGUUUCUCAAUUUAUUAUCUUACAUUGGAUUUGUUGACAAGUCCAGGGGUCCUAAUGCUUACAACCAAUACAGUCAUGAUUUGGAGAUGGUUUGUGCAAUCCUUUGUGCCGGGCUCUACCCUGAUGUUGUUCAGUGCAAAAGAAGAGGAAAACGGACGGCGUUCUAUACGAAAGAAGUUGGGAAUGUUGACAUCCAUCCAGCUUCUGUCAAUGCCGGGGUUCAUCUCUUCCCUCUGCCUUACAUGGUAUAUAGCGAAAAGGUGAAAACCACCAGCAUCUAUGUUAGAGACUCUACCAACAUUUUAGAUGAUGCCCUGCUUCUGUUUGGCGGUAAUCUUCCCCGGCGAAAAUGGCGAGGGCAUUGAGAUGCUUGGAGGUUACCUUCAUUUCUCUGCUUCAAAGAGUGUCAUUGACUUGAUAUGGAAAUUACAUGGAGAGCUUGACAAGCUUCUGAACAGAAAAAUUGAAGAACUAGGAUUGGACAUUAAUGCAGAAGGAAAAGGAGUGGUUGCUGCUGCUGUUGAGUUGCUUCACAGUCAAACCAUUCGCUGAUUUCUUUUUCAUUCAUAAGGGAUGACCACCAAAAAGAAAAAGAAAAAAUUUCUAACUGGAGCAAUAAACAAGUUUGCUGCACACUCUUUGGAGAGAAAGCAUCAGUUGGAGCAACCCGCCCACUUGUGCAUCUCAGCAUGCACCGAGGAAGGUGCAAUUUUUAAGUGUGGGGAGGUCGAUACCGACUUUCGUGGUCUAUAUAGGGCAGGAAUGGCUUAGAGGAUGGAGAGGAAGCUUGCACAAAUGGAAGGAGCACAAGAAUUGAAGGAGAUAACCAGCAAGGAGCGAUGUGUGCGCGUAUCUGACGCGUGUGCGUGAUUUGGAGAUUUGCAUAGUGACGCGUGCUCGUACCUGACGUGUACAUGUGACUAGUGCAGAAGACAAGUGACGCGUACGGGUGACAAAGAAUUUCGCCAAGCGACGCGUACGCGUGACAUGCGCCACGUGUAGAAAAUGUAGAAAACGCUGGGUGCGAUUUCUAGGCUCCACUUUGGCCCAGUUCCAAGCCUGAAAACACAGAAUACAAAUUGCAAAGUGGGUGAUAAACCACUAUUUCAUGGUUUAUCUUGUGCUAAUUUGAGUGGUUUUUAUCAACUCUUUACUCACUUAUUCAUACUAAUCGCAUGUUUUACAUUCUCCUUCCUGAUUUUGUGCUAUGAUUGAAAAUAUGCUUCUUUGGCCUUAUAUUUGCUAAUAUUAAUCAUCUCUUAUUACCAUUCGAUGCCUUGAUAUGUGUGUUAAGUGUUUUCAGAGAUUACAGGGCAGGAAUGGCUUAGAGGAUGGAAAGGAAGCAUGUAAAAGUGGAAGGAAUACAAGAAACUGAAGGAACUGCUAAAGCUGUCCAAACUGAUCUCUUGGUACUAAAUUGACCAUAACGUGAGCUACAAAGAUCCAAAUGACGCGGUUUUAGUUGCGUUGGAAAGCUAACGUCUGGGGCUUCGCAACGAUAUAUAAUUUGCCAUAGCUUCUCUGAAGCCAUAUGACACAAACGCGUGGAUCACGCGGAUGCGUGACCUGGCAAAAAACCCAAUCCACGCUAACGCGUGGACGACGCUUCCGCGCAACUUUGCAGCGACCUGUACGUACCAGAAAUCGCUGGGGGCGAUUUCUGGGCUAUUUUUGACCCAUUUUUCGGCUCAGAAAAUACAAAUUAGAGGCUAUAAAGUAGAGGAAUGCAUCCAUUCAACAAUCGAUACAACAUUCAUAAUUCACAAUUUUAGGUUUAGAUGUAAUUUUUAGAGAGAGAGGUUCUCUCUCCGCUCUCUUAGGAUUUAGGUUUAGGAUUCCUCUUAAAGGAAUUAGGAUUUCUUCUUCUCAAUU